rnacentral:tRNA from 1 species
GCGGGCAUCGUAUAAUGGUUAUUAUAUCUGCCUUCCAAGCAGAUGAUGGCGGUUCGAUUCCGCUUGCCCGCU